AGAGGAACCUGGGGCGAGGACACAGAGUGGAAGAGAAGGGCAAAGGAUGCACCCAGAACAGAUCUGACUCUGGGACACUCUGCUCUACAUGCAGCAAAGCCCCACACUGCAUCAGCCAGGAGGUGUAAGCUCCCAGAGACUGGCUGCACCUGCAACUGCAGCCCCAGGUGCAGGAUGAGAAGAGACUGUGAAUGAAUCCCCCAUGAGGACAGGGACAAGAGGCAGCAGGCCCGAAAAACGCUCCUGCAGAUCAGCAGCCAGAGGGGCUCCUUUGGCUGAGGACCAACCCCUGUAUUUGCAGGAGGGAGCCCACGAGGACGCACAGACAGUAAGCAGCAGAUCCCUGUCACACUCUUCCAGGGAGAAGGUGCUCUCCCUGUUAAGCGAUCUCACAGGUGUUCUUCUGCUCUUUCCUGUGUAGGAACAGAUUCUCAGAGCCAACCAAGCUGGACAAAGAUCAGUGUGGGAGUAGACGAUGGCUCAGAUUACUGGCCAAACGGAAAAGCCCAUGAUCACCCCUGAUGGCAACGGAGAAGAACUUGAUGGCAUCUGAAGAUAAGACUUUCAGUGGUGAUGCAAGAGGUGCAACAGUGGAAAAGAGGAAUUCAGCCAAGGACAAGGCCAGUAAGCAACAGGGCCAGAAAAAUACCACUGCUGCCCAGCAGCCAGAGGAGCUUCCGCCACAGCCGUUCAGCCCCCAGCCAGCAUACGCAUGGAUGAGGCCCGGGCGUGUCGCAACAGAACAUGAGACACCUAGGCCAGAGACACCACCUCUGCAUCACAGAAGCUGCUGUGUGCCAACCCACCUCAUGCGCCUUUACAUUCAGCGUGCCUGGUCCAAGCUCCGAGCUGCAAGCAAGGCCCUCUUUUCCACAAUCAGAAAGAGAUGUUAUAAGCUCUCGAGGAAGGAAGGAGAGCCCAUCAAGGAAAACAGAUUCUCAGAGCCAACCAAGCUGGACACAGAUCAGUGUGGGAGUAGACGAUGGCUCAGACUACUGGCCAAAAGGAAAAGCCCACGUCCACCCCUGACGGCACUGAAGAAGGACUUGGUGGCAUCUGAAGAUAAGACUUUCAGUGGUGCCCUUGAGGCCGGAGGUGCCAAUAAGGCAUCGAGCCGGGGUGGCAGCACCCACAGCCACCAGGACGUGCUGGCUCCUGUUGGCUGUAGAGAGCCAGCCCAAGUGCUGGUACCUGGGAGUGGGCAGCUCUUGGAGACCCAAGCUCCUGCUCCAUCUCAAAAUGUUGAUCCAGCAGCUGUCCAGGUGGGUACAGCUGCAGUGAGUAGCGGAUUGCCACCUGAUGCUACCAGUGGGCAGGAGCAGAAGGACAAGGGACACACCCAGGACAAGCCAGCUCCUCCAAGAAGAGUGUCCCCAAAGAGAAAACGCUCCUCCAGUGAGCAGAGACCCUCUAAUCUGCCACAGCCUCCAAAUCCCACUGGAACUAACAUUCCAGACUCCCUCAUGCAGGAGCUCUUCUCAGCAAUUCACAAUUUGAACCAAGCCAGACAAACUGCUGAUGAGCUGCAGAAGCUGGUGCAGGCUUCCUUUUCAAAGGUGCCCGCAAACAACGUCAAGUAACCGAGGACAGGUGUGGCAGCAGAGGAACCUGGGGCGAGGACACAGAGUGGAAGAGAAGGGCAAAGGAUGCACCCAGAACAGAUCUGACUCUGGGACACUCUGCUCUACAUGCAGCAAAGCCCCACACUGCAUCAGCCAGGAGGUGUAAGCUCCCAGAGACUGGCUGCACCUGCAACUGCAGCCCCAGGUGCAGGAUGAGAAGAGACUGUGAAUGAAUCCCCCAUGAGGACAGGGACAAGAGGCAGCAGGCCCGAAAAACGCUCCUGCAGAUCAGCAGCCAGAGGGGCUCCUUUGGCUGAGGACCAACCCCUGUAUUUGCAGGAGGGAGCCCACGAGGACGCACAGACAGUAAGCAGCAGAUCCCUGUCACACUCUUCCAGGGAGAAGGUGCUCUCCCUGUUAAGCGAUCUCACAGGUGUUCUUCUGCUCUUUCCUGUGUAGGAACAGCAGCUGCAGCUGCUCUGCUCACACUACUCGGCCAUCCUUGCUUGGACAGCUCUGUUGCCAUCUUCUAUAGAGAGGACACAGUGGCUGUCCUGAUCCCUGAGGGCAGGGACCUGGGCCUGGCAUUCCCGGAGGCUUUCAGCAUGGGCUGGGAGCAGUGCCAGUCCUGCAAGGCAGCAAAGGGCA
ensembl:lncRNA